rnacentral:rRNA from 1 species
UCGGGAAUUUUGGGCAAUGGGCGAAAGCCUGACCCAGCAACGCCGCGUGAGGGAUGAAGUAUUUCGGUAUGUAAACCUCGAAAGAAUGGGAAGAAUAAAUGACGGUACCAUUUAUAAGCUCCGGCUAACUACGUGCCAGCAGCCGCGGUAAUACGUAGGGAGCAAGCGUUGUUCGGAUUUACUGGGCGUAAAGGGCGCGUAGGCGGCGCGGUAAGUCACUUGUGAAAUCUCUGAGCUUAACUCAGAACGGCCAAGUGAUACUGCUGUGCUAGAGUGCGGAAGAGGUAACCGGAAUUCUUGGUGUAGCGGUGAAAUGCGUAGAUAUCAAGAGGAACACCUGAGGCGAAGGCGGGUUGCUGGGCCGACACUGACGCUGAUGCGCGAAAGCCAGGGGAGCAAACG